rnacentral:lncRNA from 1 species
UUCCGUGCAUAAGAAGCCGAAUGAGGAAGACAAACAUAAAGAUGAAGUGCUUAAUUCAAGGUCACACAAUGUCGGGGAUGGACCUCCAGAUUUCCUUACUGGUGAGACGUGGUCUUGUAACACAGUGGUUAAGAAUGUGACUUUGGAGCCAGCCUGCUAGGGGCUGAAUUCUGACUCAGCCAUUUACUAACUGUGUGACCUUAGGUCACAGAAUUUUCCACACUCCUUGACAGAGGUGCUUAACCCUUAUCCAUCAGCAUUCUCAGACAGCACCUCCGGUUAGGGACAGUAUCUGACCGUCCGACAUCCCUGCAGCCCCCAUGUGUCACACAGACUCAGCCUCAGGUAGAUGGUUUCCGUAGAUGGUGGCUUUCUUUGGACCCUUGACAUCAACCAGUUACUAUUUGACUCUUCUGCAGAACCCCAUGUUGACCCCUGCUUUGAGGUGGCAGAGUUAACACUACUCUUCGUUAUAAGCUCUCGUCUGGGGCAACUCAGAAGAACGGGACCAGAUGUGCAGAGGUAAUGAAUACCAGGGAAUCAGGAAACCACUGGAUCAGUUCUUUGAGCCACAGAACAACACUCAUCCCAGCAGCUGGGAAGCUAUCUGCAAAAGUCCAUCUGCAGAAAGGGCUUCCUGGUCUUGCGUGUGGCUGGGCCAUUUCUCUGGAUGCAGGUUUUUCAUUAUACAGUCUUCUCAAAGAACCACCUGCUCUCAACACC